AUUGAACGCUGGCGGCAUGCCUUACACAUGCAAGUCGAAGGGCAGCACGGGAGCAAUCCUGGUGGCGAGUGGCGAACGGGGGAGUAAUAUAUCGGAACGUGCCCAGUCGUGGGGGAUAACGUAGCGAAAGCUAAGCUAAUACCGCAUACGAUCUAUGGAUUAAAGCGGGGGAUCGCAAGACCUCGCGCGAUUGGAGCGGCCGAUAUCAGAUUAGGUAGUUGGUGAGGUAAAGGCUCACCAAGACGACGAUCUGUAGCUGGUCUGCGAGGACGACCAGCCACACUGGGACUGAGACACGGCCCAGACUCCUACGGGAGGCAGAAGUGGGGAAUUUUGGACAAUGGGCGCAAGCCUGAUCCAGCAAUGCCGCGUGCAGGAUGAAGGCCUUCGGGUUGUAAACUGCUUUUGUACGGAACGAAACGGCGAGUUCUAAUACAGUUUGCUAAUGACGGUACCGUAAGAAUAAGCACCGGCUAACUACGUGCCAGCCGCCGCGGUAA
rnacentral:rRNA from 1 species